rnacentral:lncRNA from 1 species
GUGCUCUCAAGGUCUCAGCUCAUGAGCCUCCCACUCUUCCUUGUGAAGCAGCAAAUGCAACAUACCUAAAGGUGAAUAGAGUAUUUAUUUGUACUAUAAAUGUCAUAAGAAAAAGUUGACUAUAGGCUGGUUAUAGUUUACCCAUGAUUCAUCAUGUCAUUCUUAGGUGCAUAAACUAAGGUGUACAUAAUUUAUUUUGUGGAGGAAGAAUAUGGUAACUUAAACAGUAUUACAUGUGAUGCCAUGUCGCUGCGGGGAAGCAUUCACACACUCACGUUUGGCAUGUUCCAUGCAGCAGACCUGUCGUCAUUGGUUGAGGUAAGCAACGUUUCUUGCUUUCUCAUAUAUUUAUUUUUAUUCACUAAGUUCAACCUUGUACUUGGGAAGUCAAAUCACUAUUUCUGUUCAAGGUUGUCAUGAAAAUUUCAAAAAUGGAAUGGAAUGAAUUAACAGUGCGCUUCUGCAUUUUUGACUUAGAUGUUGCAAGGCUGCGAGGUGAGGGCAGACGGUGCACGUCAUCACUGCCGCUCUCUCCUGUCUCUGUUUUUCUCUUUGCUGAAGAAAUUUCACACAACCAGGAGCAGUGAAUAGGGUUACAAUUUGUGAAUUGAGAUGUUUGUGCAGUUGCUGCACUUUUAUAACCACUUCUGAUUAGUUGCGGAUGCAAUGAUGUUUAGCUGAUGUGGAAUAUUUUUGACUAGAAUCCUUGAUUGUGUAUUUGUUCCAUUUUUAAAUUUAUUUAUUCAUGCUUCAUACACACCAGAUACAAUUUCAUCUAAGGAAAAUCAAGGUCUGAUUGAAAAAAAUUAAGUUCUUGGCACAAUUAACAUUGGAUGACCCGCCUUGCUAUAUUAUGAACAUGCUUGCUUUAAAUUAUUAGUUAAUUGAAAUAAUUUAUAAUUUUAUCUCUGUAGUUGCAUCCUCCAUAUUUUGAUAAAAUUUACAAAUGUCAGAUUUUGUUCAUUAGCAUAGGUUCAUGAAUGCCGAGCGCAUCCAAUCGACAUCGUCAAACUUUGGGCUCUAGCACUUUGCUCUGUUUGUGAGGAUGGAUCAAUAGUGCGCUCACCAAGUGGCAGCA